AGUGGGGCUCCCAUGCGUGUGUUUAUUUUGAUGAAUAAUUGCUCUUGAUUUUGUGCUUCUAAAUGUGAACAGAUCGGCACCUGUAGUUAAGUUUAAAUGAACGAUGACAAAUAUAUUCGAUCUACAUUCAAAAUGGACACAUUUAUUCACCAGACAAGCACAACUACGUGGAAUAAAUUCCGCUUGGUGGUGAUACGCUAACGUUUCAGCUCAGAAGUGACGAGAGAGUAAAGCACCGGAGACAAGAAAUCUGAGCGCUUUAAACAUCUGAAUUCAUCUACAGCCCUUCUGAGAGCAGCUACUUACAAACAGCAGUGAAAGCUGGAGAAGCAGAGGCAAAAUGAGAGCAAACCACACCGAUACGAGCUCAGCAAAGAUGCCAGCGAGCGUUAUUUGGAUAAAUGAUCAUCUGUUAACAGCAGCGAUGAGCUAAGUUGGUUGCAAGCGGGUGGAACAGCGAUCGUGUUGCACUUGUGGCGGUAAAUGUUUAUGCUUUAAUGUAAUUGUUCAUGCUGCUUUUUGUCUGUGUCUAUUUACAAGCACAAAUAAAGUACAUAUAAAUGUUA